rnacentral:rRNA from 1 species
GAUGAACGCUAGCGGCAGGCUUAAUACAUGCAAGUCGAGGGGCAGCAUGAUUGUAGCAAUACAAUUGAUGGCGACCGGCAAACGGGUGCGGAACACGUACACAACCUCCCAAUAAGUGGGGAAUAGCCCAGAGAAAUUUGGAUUAAUACCCCGUAACAUAACGAGGUGGCAUCACAUUGUUAUUAUAGAUUUUUCGCUUAUUGAUGGGUGUGCGGCUGAUUAGAUAGUUGGCGGGGUAACGGCCCACCAAGUCUACGAUCAGUAGCGGAUGUGAGAGCAUGAUCAGCCACACGGGCACUGAGACACGGGCCCGACUCCUACGGGAGGCAGCAGUAAGGAAUAUUGGACGAUGGACGCAAGUCUGAUCCAGCCAUGCCGCGUGAAGGAUUAAGGUCCUCUGGAUUGUAAACUUCUUUUAUAAGGGACGAAAAAAGGCUUUUCUAAGUCGUCUGACGGUACCUUAUGAAUAAGCACCGGCUAACUCCGUGCCAGCCGCCGCUGUAACAC